rnacentral:rRNA from 1 species
GCUCAACAUUUAGCCCCAUGAACCCCUACAAAAUUUUUGCAAAACAAAACAAACCAUUUGACACAACUAGUAAAGGCGAUUAAACGUUUACCUAGGGAGCAAUAGACAAAGUACCGAAAGGGAAACAUGAAAAAACAAUGAAACACUAAAGCAAAAAAAAGCAGAGACUAACCCUCGUACCUCUUGCAUCAUGAUUUAGCAAGAACAAUGCAGACAAGGCGCCCCAAGCCUGCCAUCCAGAAACCAAGUGAGCUACCAUGGAGCAACCAAAAGGGUGAACCCGUCCCUGUAGCAAAAGGGUGGGAAGACUUCACGGUAGCAGUGAAAAGCCUACCGAACUUGUUGAUAGCUGGUUGCCUGAUAAAUGAACCUAAGUUCAACCUUAAAUUUUUACCACACUAAAUAGUGCCUCAUUAAUUUAAGAGAUAUUCAAUGAGGGUCCAGCCUCAUUGAACCAGGAUUCAACCUGAACCAGAGAGAUAGACCUUAUUAUAAAACCAGUGGGCCUUAAAGCAGCCACCAAUAAAAACAGCGUCACAGCACAACUAAAAAAAUUCCAAACACAAAAACAAACUCCUAUAAUUUACCAGGCCACUCUAUAAAAAUAUAGAGGAACUAAUGCUAAAACUAGUAACAAGAAAUAUAUCUCUUAGCACAAUUGUAAGUCAGCAAUAGAAUUUCUACUGAAAUUUAAUGGAUUAAUAUAACAAGUUUUUUACUAUAUUAAACAACACCAUUAUCCCAACACAGGCGUGCAAAAAAGAAAGAUUAAAAAUUAAAAAAGGAACUCGGCAAAAACUAAUCCCAACUGUUUACCAAAAACAUAGCCUUUAGCUAAACAAGUAUUAAAGGUAACGCCUGCCCAGUGAGCAAAUUUAAACGGCCGCGGUAUCCUAACCGUGCAAAGGUAGCGUAAUCACUUGUCUCCUAAAUAGAGACCCGUAUGAACGGCUAAAUGAGGACUAACCUGUCUCCUUUAAUUAAUCAGUGAAACUGAUCCACCAGUACAAAAGCUGGUAUUUUGUCAUUAGACGAGAAGACCCUGUGGAGCUUUAAAUCCAAGACCAACACUAAGCCUCACAAAUAUCACUAAUGGUCCAAGAUUUUAAGUUGGGGCGACUUCGGAACAAAAUAAAACUUCCGAGCACAAGAGCACUAGCCCAAUCAAGACCAACAAGUCAAAACAAAAAUUGACCCAGUAUUACUGAUCACCGAACCAAGUUACCCCAGGGAUAACAGCGCAAUCUUCUUCAAGAGUUCACAUCGACAAGAAGGUUUACGACCUCGAUGUUGGAUCAGGACACCCAAAUGGUGCAGCCGCUAUUAAAGGUUCGUUUGUUCAACGAUUAAUAGUCCUACGUGAUCUGAGUUCAGACCGGAGCAAUCCAGGUCGGUUUCUAUCUAUGUAGUUGCUUUCUAUAGUACGAAAGGACCUAGAAAGCAGGACCAAUGCUAACAGCAAGUCCUACCAAUAAGGCUGACCCCAACUAAAGCCUAUAGAAAACACCCCCCCCCCCAUCUGUAGACAACAGACU